GGCGCUACAGCACAGAGUGGAAUAUGACCAAUGGUAAAGCCUUAUUAUAGCCUACUAGUUUGUGCUACAACAAUUGGUGCCCAGUGUGAGGCUGACUGAGUUGGACUACAGGAGUGUGCGAGACUUUGCAACCUUAGAAAAAUCAGCUGCAGGCAUGCCCCCAGGGAACCUGUCAUGGGCUUUUCCUCCAGCGUGCCAUAGGAGAGAUGAGGAUUUCUCUGCAGAUCAGGCUCUUCAUUGCAGUGAGCAAUCUGAGCUCUCCAGUUGUGAAACAGACCUCUUAAGUGCUACUACACUUCAUGACUUCAGGUAUACAGACAGUAAGGGCAAAGAGAUGCCUCCACAAUCUGGAUACUGUAAGACGUGAGUGUUGAAGGCAGACUGGAAAGCAGGUUUGGGUCUGUUUCCUUCUGCAAGUCUGAGCACCUCAGAGGAAGCUGAAGAGGAAUGGAUCACUGAGAAGCAAAAUUCUUGAACAGGCAUUCCCUAUGGAGAACUCAGGGCAGAGUCUGCAGCCCUUCCGCUUGCCUCACAGACAGUAUGAUAGACAUAAAAGUGAUAAAACUCAUUUGAAGGA